AGUCGAGCGAACGGACGAGAAGCUUGCUUCUCUGAUGUUAGCGGCGGACGGGUGAGUAACACGUGGAUAACCUACCUAUAAGACUGGGAUAACUUCGGGAAACCGGAGCUAAUACCGGAUAACAUUUUGAACCGCAUGGUUCAAAAGUGAAAGACGGUCUUGCUGUCACUUAUAGAUGGGUCCGCGCCGCAUUAGCUAGUUGGUAAGGUAACGGCUUACCAAGGCGACGAUGCGUAGCCGACCUGAGAGGGUGAUCGGCCACACUGGAACUGAGACACGGUCCAGACUCCUACGGGAGGCAGCAGUAGGGAAUCUUCCGCAAUGGGCGAAAGCCUGACGGAGCAACGCCGCGUGAGUGAUGAAGGUCUUCGGAUCGUAAAACUCUGUUAUUAGGGAAGAACAAAUGUGUAAGUAACUAUGCACGUCUUGACGGUACCUAAUCAGAAAGCCACGGCUAACUACGUGCCAGCAGCCGCGGUAAUACGUAGGUGGCAAGCGUUAUCCGGAAUUAUUGGGCGUAAAGCGCGCGUAGGCGGUUUUUUAAGUCUGAUGUGAAAGCCCACGGCUCAACCGUGGAGGGUCAUUGGAAACUGGAAUACUUGAGUGCAGAAGAGGAAAGUGGAAUUCCAUGUGUAGCGGUGAUAUGCGCAGAGAUAUGGAGGUACACCAGUGGCGAAGG
rnacentral:rRNA from 1 species